rnacentral:rRNA from 1 species
UACAGAGGUGCCAAGCGUUAGGCGGAAUCACUGGGCUUAAAGCGUGUGUAGGCGGAUUUGUAAGUACCUUGUGAAAUCCCACAGCUCAACUGUGGAACUGCUUGGUAUACUGCUUAUCUUGGGCCAUCUAGGGGCUACCGGAACAAGUGGUGGAGCGGUGAAAUGCGUAGAUAUCACUUGGAACGCCAAUGGUGAAAACAGGUAGCUGGGGAUGUGCCGACGCUGAGACACGAAAGCCAGGGGAGCAAACGGG